GAUGAACGCUGGCGGCGUGCCUAAUACAUGCAAGUCGAGCGAACGGACGAGAAGCUUGCUUCUCUGCUGUUAGCGGCGGACGGGUGAGUAACACGUGGAUAACCUACCUAUAAGACUUGGAUAACUUCGGGAAACCGGAGCUCAUACCGGUUAAUAUUUUGAACCUCAUGGUUCAAAAGUGAAAGACGGUCUUGCUGUCACUUAUAUAUUGAUCCGCGCUUCAUUAGCUAGUUGGUAAGGUAACGGCUUACCAAGGCAACGAUGCAUAGCCGACCUGAGAGAGUGAUCGGCCACACUGGAAAUGAGACACGGUCAAGACGCCUACGGGAGGCAGCAGUAGGGAAUAUUCCGCAAUGGGCGAAAGAAUGACGGAGAAACGCCGCGUGAGUGAUGAAGGUAUUCGGAUCGUAAAACUCUGUUAUUAGGGAAGAAAAGAUGUGUAAGUAACUGUGCACAACUUGACGGUACCUAAUCAGAAAGCCACGGCUAAAUACGUG
rnacentral:rRNA from 1 species